rnacentral:rRNA from 1 species
UACGUAGGGGGCAAGCGUUGUCCGGAAUCAUUGGGCGUAAAGCGCGUGUAGGCGGCCCGGUAAGUCCGCUGUGAAAGUCGGGGGCUCAACCCUCGAAUGCCGGUGGAUACUGUCGGGCUAGAGUGCGGGAGAGGCGAGUGGAAUUCCUGGUGUAGCGGUGAAAUGCGCAGAUAUCAGGAGGAACACCAAUUGGCGAAGGCAGCUCGCUGGAACGUAACUGACGCCUGAGACGCGAAAGCGUGGGGAGCAAACAGG